UGUGCACGUUUGUUUCUCAUAUUUUCACACCUCAUAUAAACAUAAACUUUUGUCCUUAUAUUUUUUGCCUUUUAACUUUAGCCUUGUUUUAGUUGUAAAGCUAUAGGCUGAAGAAAAAAUCUUGCUCUAUCACAGCUGUAAAUAAGAAUGUGUUUAACCUCUGUAUCUCUGUUUUUUAGUAAUUUAAACACAGCUUGAACAAUGUUGAUCCCACUUCAUCCAAGGCUUUGUGGACUCAACCACUAAUUUAAACUGCUUCAUGACUGCUGCCGUGACCAACAUUUAGCAAAGUCCAGCAGCCAGCACAGAGCAAACCUGGCAACCUGACAACACAGAUCUGGCGGCUGUGGGCGGCACAGUUCACUUUCACUUUGGACUGUCUUGUGUGUCAUUCCCAACCUUUCUGAAUCCAUAAAUAAGAGCAGAGCCUCAGUUUCACUGUGGAUGUAAGGAGUGGAGAAGAAAAAGAGGAGGAGGUUUGAAAGUCAGCGCGAGAUUAAUCAUUUGAUGCUUGGAACUGUCAUUUGCACAUUUUCAAGAGCAAUGAGUUAAUCAUUAAAACUUGCAUGAACAUGUACAAAACACCCAGGACUGUCAAUGUGCCAUUCAACCACAUUACUGAAAUAAAGUUAGAAGAAAAACUCCUCUUAUGUGGACAUAAACAAGAGACCAGGAUACUGUAAAUGUAUUAUUAUAAACAUAUUCCAAGCACAAACAGGCAAAGUUGUUUUUGCCUAGUAGAAAUGUAAAUAUGACAUUAAUAUGACUGCAUUUGAUAUAUAACAUUUAUUCAAGUCAGAUUUUGUACAUUUAAUACAUUUGUAGUUUAAACCUGUGAAAAAUAAGCUUAGCUAACACUGUUGAUGUGCCAUACCUGAGUAAUGAUACAGUAAGUUAUUUACUGACAGCCUUUACAAAAUAGCUGAACUGGAUGUCAGAGCCAGACAUAUCUAAAAAAUAUAGUGAACGUGGCCGGCCAAAGUAUGUACACCAGUAAUGUUGCAGUAAUAAAGGCUUUAGAGGAAAACAUACAAACUUAAUCAAAAAUCAUUUAUUUCAUUAUUUUAUUUUGAAAUUAGCAAAAUAAAAUACUGAAAAUGCAGCUGGAAUAUUUAUUCAAUGAUUGUAAAGCCUCUUGAAAUGCUGUUUAACGUUACCCGGUGUUCAUUGAAAGCUUAGUUGUUUCUUUGUAAAAGUGCUGUUGUAUCAUGACAAGUGCUUAGUAGCUUCAUUACCUUUUUCCUCAUAAUGGCUUGUCGUUCUUUUGCUUUGAUUGUUUACCUAUUUUUGCAACUCUCCCGUGUAAUUUCUUCAGAAAUGACCUUUUCUAGUUCACUGUAAAAAGCUUAUAGGAUUAAAAUAACGACCGUU